GGUUCUAUCUAUGCUCACUAGUGAAAUUUCUGAUUUGCCAAGUCCUAAACAACCUGCAUUUACAACAAGACCGAGCUGUUCCGAGAAGGAAUCUUCUAAAACUCAAGGCUCUGUGAACACAGUUAGCAUUACGAUUAUGGAAGGACGAUAAGACAUUUUAGCAUUUUAAUUUGGGCAUGUAUUUUAUUCCUCCCCCUGUAAUUAGGGAUGUAUCUGAUUCUUUCCUGUAAUUAUUACUGCCUCUGAUUCAUUUGGUAAUGAUUCCACUCAAUAUUAUCUCAGUACAUUAAGAAUUCAAGAGAAAAGAGUAAGCUGUGCAAGUCACUUAUGUAGUAGGUGUUUAAUCAUGAGUUCAGCACUAAUAACAUGAGAUUAAUAAAUUGUUUUAGUUCUGCACCCUCCACAAACACACAGAGAGAAAGCAAUGCUAUAUUGUUUGAUAGUAGAAUCCAUAUCCAAGCAAGAAGAUAGCAAAGACUUCAAACUCAAAGUUGUUAAGCAGUAGCCUAAAAAGAUGUGUUUCCUGAAAUUAGAGAAGUUCAUCUACUACUAAAUUUGGAGUUACCUUUCUUUCAUGGGGAAAAUGACUUCCAUUACAGCUAUCUUAACGUUUAAUUUUAAUAUCAAAUGUUCCAGUCUAACACUUAAAACAUUAUUAUCAAUCUUUACUACUAUUCGGAAACAGUCUUUUUGCUGUAGGGUAAGGUUGCGUACACUCCCAGACCCUACUAGUGUAAUCCUACUAGGUUGUUGUCGUUGUUGUUGUAAUCUUCAAAAGUGGCCACAUUAAAAGUAAGAGAAAAAUACUGACCUUUGUUCUCGGAAAAAAAGGCAUUUGUUCGUAUAGUUCAGCUUCUCAUAUAUGCAUCCAACUGAAAUAUAUAUAGCGUGGCUGGUCAGGAUCUGAAACCUCUGCAUUUUAAUCUCCUCAUUAAGGUUUUGAUUUUGACAAUUCGAGAGUCCAUUAUAAAUCUGCUUUCAUUAUUUUAACCAACUUAGCCAUAUUGGAUAAUUCAGAAAAGGGUUUAAAAUGCCCCUAAGCUAUCGGAAAAGUUUGAAAAUAUCCUUUACCCACCUUUUGGGCUAAAAAUACCAUACGCCUUUUUGGUUCACUUAUGCCCUUUGACCGUUAGGUCAAUGCUGAAUUAAAAAUAAUAAUUAUUUAAAUUUCACGUGAAAACUUAUUAUUGAUCGAAAUUAAAAUAUCUAGCCUAUUAGAAAGACUCACACAUAUCUACCCGUUUUUCGGACUAACCCACCCCAAAUACUAACUCGACCCGAAUAAAAAGUUCAACUAAAAAAGACGCCCCACUUCCGUCUAACUCCGGGUUAACUGCCGUAAAAAAGCACAUUAGGAAACCAGGAGAUCAAAAUUAUGCUUCACUAGUGGAUUUUCUUGACCAAUCUGGGAAACUACAAGAAGCAGAGAAAGUCGUUGAAUAAAUGCCAAUGCAACAAACAGAAUUAGCACUGAAUUGGUGAAAAUAAAUUUUCAGCUUAUGUGGUUGAUAGGGUUUAUUAGUUAGGAUCUGUUAGCCAUGAUGUAAUGCUACUGCUAAUAAACAUCAAGAAGCUACAAAGACCUAGGAAAAUGCUUACUCACCAACAUGUUGAGGUAAAGAUAUUUCACACAGAUGUAAUGCUACUGCUUAUAGUUGUUGGAAGUUCGCACUAGCAUAACUGAUGGAAAUUGUCACUCCUAUUACAUCAUUUUUUUCAACUUUUAGUGGCAUAAAGGUGGACAAACCUAAGAUAAGUAUGGUGAAAAUAGUAAGGGUUAUUGCUGUCAUCCUUCCAUCUGUAAUACCCCAUAAUUUAAAAGAGGACAAAUUGAUCAUUUAGCUAACAAUUAAAAAAAAAAAGAAA
rnacentral:lncRNA from 1 species